ACAUUCCCAUUUCACAGAAUCAUAGAAUCAUUCACAUUGGAAAAGACCCUUUGGAUCAUCGAGUCCAAUCAUCAGCUCUACUCUAAAAAGUUCUCCCCUACACCAUAUCCCCCAACAUCUCAUCCAAACAAUCCUUAAACACAUCCAGGGAUGGUGACUCCACCACCUCCCUGGUCAGCC